GGGGGAUUAGCUCAGCUGGUUAGAGCACUUGCUCGACACGCAAGGGGUCGGCAGUUCGAAUCUGCCAUCUCCCACCA
rnacentral:tRNA from 1 species